rnacentral:rRNA from 1 species
AACGAACGCUGGCGGCAGGCCUAACACAUGCAAGUCGAACGCUCUCUUCGGAGGGAGUGGCAGACGGGUGAGUAACACGUGGGAACCUACCCCUUGGUACGGAAUAACUGAUGGAAACGUUAGCUAAUACCGUAUGAGCGCUGAGGCGGAAAGAUUUAUCGCCAAGGGAUGGGCCCGCGUAGGAUUAGCUAGUUGGUGGGGUAAAGGCCUACCAAGGCGACGAUCCUUAGCUGGUCUGAGAGGAUGAUCAGCCACACUGGGACUGAGACACGGCCCAGACUCCUACGGGAGGCAGCAGUGGGGAAUAUUGGACAAUGGGCGGAAGCCUGAUCCAGCCAUGCCGCGUGAGUGAUGAAGGCCUUAGGGUUGUAAAGCUCUUUCACCUGGGCAGAUAAUGACGGUACCAGGAGAAGAAGCCCCGGCUAACUUCGUGCCAGCAGCCGCGGUAACAC